AUAAAUAAGCCCAACUAAAAAGCGGAAAAGAAAAACCCUACCCAGUUGCUUAGUGGUUUAUACUUCCAGACUUGGGCUCACACACUUUUGAGGGGAAAUGUCAUUACCAGAUGACUGCUAAUCUGUUUACUUGUUGCAGAUGACCUGGGCCCCUUCUCAGAGCUUCAGAACCGGGGUUCCCGACACUCAGGCCCCUUCUUUACCUUCUCUUCCUCCUUCCCUGGGCACUCCGAUUUCUCCUCCUCAUCUUUCUCCUUCAGUCCUGGGGCUGGUGCUUUUCGCUCUGUUUCUACAUCUACCACCUUUGUCCAAGGACGCCGCAUCACCACACGCAGAAUCAUGGAGAAUGGGCAGGAGCGGGUGGAAGUGGAGGAGGAUGGGCAGCUGAAGUCAGUCACAAUCAAUGGUGUCCCAGAUGACCUGGCACUGGGCUUGGAGCUGAGCCGUCGCGAGCAGCAGCCGUCAGUCACUUCCAGGUCUGGGGGCACUCAGGUCCAGCAGACCCCUGCCUCAUGCCCCUUGGACAGCGACCUCUCUGAGGAUGAGGACCUGCAGCUGGCCAUGGCCUACAGCCUGUCAGAGAUGGAGGCAGCUGGGAAGAAACCCGCAGGUGGGCGGGAGGCACAGCACCGACGGCAGGGGCGGCCCAAGGCCCAGCACCAAGAUCCAGGCUUGGGGGGGACCCAGGAGGGUGCGAGGGGUGAAGCAACCAAACGCAGCCCAUCCCCAGAGGAGAAGGCCUCUCGCUGCCUCAUCCUCUGAACACCGGGCCCAACCUGAUCUGAUCCAGAUCUUGACUGGGGGUCUGACUCACUGUGGGAAGAGAAGAGGGGAGUAUCCUGAGUUGUAGGAACUGCUUUCCAACUCCAUGCUCCCUCCACAAGUUUCCCUCCCAGGCCCCCCGCACCCCAGUGUGGACUUGGGAUUUGCUGUGCUCAGCCCAGGGCUGAUAGGUCCCUGGUGAAGCCCA
rnacentral:sRNA from 1 species